CCUACGGGUGGCAGCAGUGGGGAAUAUUGCACAAUGGGGGAAACCCUGAUGCAGCGACGCCGCGUGAGCGAUGAAGUAUUUCGGUAUGUAAAGCUCUAUCAGCAGGGAAGAAAAUGACGGUACCUGACUAAGAAGCCCCGGCUAACUACGUGCCAGCAGCCGCGGUAAUACGUAGGGGGCAAGCGUUAUCCGGAUUUACUGGGUGUAAAGGGAGCGUAGACGGUGCUGCAAGACAGAUGUGAAAGGCCGGGGCACAACCCCGGGACUGCAUUGGAAACUGUAUAGCUGGAGUGUAGGAGAGGCAAGCGGAAUUCCUAGUGUAGCGGUGAAAUGCGUAGAUAUUAGGAGGAACACCAGUGGCGAAGGCGGCCUGCUGGACGAUGACUGACGUUGAGGCUCGAAAGCGUGGGGAGCAAACAGGAUUAGAUACCCGUGUAGUC
rnacentral:rRNA from 1 species